UGACAAGGCAACAGGAAAGAGAAUAUAGAUAACGGUAGCUCCCAGAAUGCAACGGCACGGGCUUAGGGACUAAAGGAGCAGAUUGCAAUGUCUUUUUUGUUCACUACUAUGAACCAAGCACCAACCAAUGAUGAGCACGCUCAACAACCUCGUUAUGGAUAGAUGAAUGAAUGUAUUCAGUAGGCAUUUAUAAAAUGCUUGCAUUAUGCCAAGAAUUGUGUUAGACGCUGGGAUACAAAGAUGAAUAACAUGUAGGUCGAUCUCCAAGAAGUUCAUAGUUGAGUGGAGAAGACACAUAUAAAGACAUUAAACGGAGGAAGUGAAGAGUGGAAGGAAAUCUAAAAGGAUUGCACAGGCAAAGGCACAAAAGAUAAAGAAACUGGAUCUUGGAACAAAGCUUUGACCAUAGAGCUGGGGUGAAAGUCCAUCCAUUCAACAAAUAAUAAUAAUUGAGUGCUUACAAUGUCAGUGAACAGUAUCAUAAAAUAUUUCUGCUGUGUAGAGCUUAUGUUAUAAUGGAUAUCAGUUCUUAUUGAUUUCAAAGCACAACUUUCUGCAACAAUCUUACAUUAUCCUAGAAGUAGCUAUCAGACUUAAUGUCUCAAGUAAUUGUCCUUUCUAUGUGACUAUUGAAGCCCUCAACUCUUUGGAAACCACAGGUGACCUAGCUCACAAAAUGCUUGGACAUUCUCAGUAAAGUUUGGAUUUAUAGUAGGUACCCAGAUUUAGGUCAGGAACAUAAAAUCUGAACCAAUUUAGGCACUGCUCAUAGGGAGUGAAUUCUUAAUGAAAAAGCAAUGUCCCCUAGGAAUAAAUGCUAUAACUGGCUAGAAGGUAGAUUAGUAAAUGUUUAUAGAAGGCAGAUUGGAUUUAGCGUAGGAGGCAGUGCUGACCAGGGGCAACAGGAGGAAAUGUUCUUAAUUGUUCUGGGUGGUGGCAUCUUUUUAUCUAAAGAAAUCUUGCCAGCAAUUUUGCUUGGAUGACUAAUUUGGAGUAAUUUUUAUUUUGUGUAUUUUUUAUUAGUUAAUGGGAUCUAGGAGUAUAAUAACCUGGUGAGAAUUUCUCUGCAAAUGGCAAUCAAAUUAGUCUUAUUCAUGAAACUCAUAAAUAAGCUAUAAUUCAGCAUUUUAUGUUUAGGGAAAAUAAAACUGGGGUCAUGCUGUUUAAGAGGAUAAGGGAAUUUAACAGAACGCUAGGGGAUUUAUAGCAGACUUAUGAAGAAGAUACAUUCUAACUGGAGGCUUAAUUGUGAUUUAAAUUACAGGUCAAGCUGUGCAAUGUGUUUUCUUUCUAAGAGAAAAUCUUUGGAGAGAUAAAGUGUGCUUGUUUAAAGAGGAAACAGAAAGCAAAUGAGAAAACAAAUUGUAUGUUCUGUUUUUCUUUUAAAAUUUCAAGCUGCUUUAGGUCAAAUUGCCCCUGAGUUCCUGCUGAUGGCUGUUGUGAAAUUUCCUUGUUUUACUUUCUUUGUGUUAUUCCUGCCCUCUAUUCCAGAGCAGUUAUUUAACCUGACAGUAACAAAAAGAUGUAGACAGCACAUCUGCCAGCAAACUAAUAUGAAAGCCAGAGAUGAGGUAUUCUCAACCUUUCUAGAAUUGUGA